rnacentral:hammerhead_ribozyme from 1 species
GCACUGCUGAGGAGUCCCACAAUAGGUCGAAACGUCCGUCCAGUGC